rnacentral:lncRNA from 1 species
GUGUUAAACUAUGAAGUUUUAUUCCAAAGUGCUAGAGUUACAGUUUAUGUCGUUGACAUACAUCUCACUAAGACUUUGGAAGAGCUUAAGAAAACUGCCUCGCAACUGAAGAUGGAAUUUGAGAUGAAGGAUCUUAGGAAACUCGUUUAUGCCUUGACCUGAAGUUCAAGCGUUGUUUUGACGGUACCUUGGUUUACCAUUCGAACUACACCCUGAAUGUGUUACCUUUGAGUAUACCUAUGAUCGUCCAUACAUUAUAUGCAAAUAAGACCCUUGAAGAGGUUACAUAAUCUGAAAUUCCAUAUCUAAGUUCAACUUUGUGCUUCGUUGUACUUAGCCCAUUGUAUUUAGAUAGAACAUCUUCUUUGCUGUUGAUCUUGGUAAAGAUGCAGCACCGCUCCUACACGCAUCCACUGAAUUGGUAUUAAAGACGUACCUUGAAGAUAUU